AACCCACGAACCACAAGAUCAUGACCUGAGCCGGAAUCAAGCAUCCGAUGCUUCACCGACUGAGCCAUCCACGUGGAGCCACCCACCCCAGUGCCGGGCUGAUCUCUAAUAAUACAAAACUGGAAACAACCUGAAUUCCGUGACAGUGGAAUGACUACGUGGUGGCAUAGUCACAUGGUGGAGCACAGGGCAGCAACGGGGCUGAAUGAGUGACAACUGCGUUCACAGCAUCCGGGAUUCUCACAAAAACCAAAACCAAAAGAACGCACAAAAGAUUACGAUUCCAUUUACGUAAAGUUUAGUAGGCAAAGUCAACGUGUGCUAUUAGAAGUCAAAAUAGGGGGGUUACUUUUCUUUCAUUUGUUUGAAUUGUGGAAAAACACCUGUAACCUAGAAUUUACUGUUCUAGCCGUUUUGCCGUGUGCAUUCCAGCAGCAUUCGGUACAUUCAUGGUGGUGUGUGCCCAUGAUCUCUGUCGAGUUCUAGAACUUUGACAGUCACUCCCCACUCUCCUCCCCCCAUGAUGUGACUUGUGGAGAUCCUGGAGGGAGUAAUGACUGGCAGGGGACAUAAUGGGGGGCUUCUGGAUAUUGGUAAUGUUCUUUUGUUUUACCUGGGUGAGAUCGUAUGGGUGUGUUUGUGUUGCGAAAAUGUAACUGUAUACUUAUAAUUUAUAUAUAUUUUGUACCUGAUAUCUAAAUACAUAUGAAUUUAGAGAUCUAUAAUAUCUGUACAGAUAUCUAUUGUAUAGAUAUGUACAUAUUUGUAUAGAUAUUAUAUACUGUAUACAUUUAGUAUACAGAUAUAUUAGAUAUUUAUAUGUAAAGUGAUAACGAUUAUUUUUCUAGGAGGUAGGAUUAUGAACCUCUAUUGUACUGUUUUGCUAAUUUGUGUUUUCCAGUUGGUCUUCAUGAAUAUGUAUAACUGUGGUAAUAGUUUUUAAAUAAAUAGCUUUUAAAUUUAAAAUAUCCUAAAUAAAGGAAAAUGACAUCCGUU